CCCCAGAUUUUGCUGAACUACAACUCCCAUGAUUCUUUGAAUUACAUAGAUAGCCAGAGAAUCAUGGAAGUUGUAGUUCAGCAACAUCUGGG
rnacentral:miRNA from 1 species